rnacentral:tRNA from 1 species
GCGGGAGUAGCUCAGUGGUAGAGCAUCAGCUUCCCAAGCUGAGGGUCGCGGGUUCGAGUCCCGUCUCCCGCU